rnacentral:rRNA from 1 species
UACAGAGGGGGCAAGCGUUGUUCGGAAUUACUGGGCGUAAAGGGCGCGUAGGCGGCCUGUUAAGUCGAACGUGAAAUCCCCGGGCUCAACCCGGGAACUGCGUCCGAAACUGGCAGGCUCGAAUUCGGGAGAGGGAUGCGGAAUUCCAGGUGUAGCGGUGAAAUGCGUAGAUAUCUGGAGGAACAUCGGUGGCGAAGGCGGCAUCCUGGACCGAUAUUGACGCUGAGGCGCGAAAGCCAGGGGAGCAAAGCGGG